UACUAUAAAAAUGAUCAUACCAUUUUCUAUUUCUACAUGAAAACAAAAACAAAUAUGGCAGAAAUUCUAAAGUUUGUUUGUGUUAUGAUUAUUUUUCUUUUCAUCAUGUGUACCAUUGUAACUGAUGGAAUUGAUUACUGUGAAACUGAUCUCGACUGUCCUAAACCUCCAAAUCUCCCAGAUGAAUUCAGAAUUUGCAGUGAUGGUGUUUGUCUAUUUUUAGGGGUGAUCUACACAUAAAAUCUCGAUCCAAGUCUAAGAGAAGGGUACAAAAGUCUUUUUGGCACAAGGAUUUUAAACUCAAAAUAAAAAAUAAAAAUAAACUUGUUAUAUUUUAUGACUAUUGUUUCUAAUUCCUCCAAGAGGCCAUUGGCCCAAGUGUUGUUUAAGUAUUAUGUGUAGAUGUUGUCUCUCCCAACUCCGUAUUUCUUUUAUAUCUCCCUGAAUUUCCAAUUUUGUCUUUGCAAAUAAAUUCUGGUUUAUAAAAAUCGAAAUUUACUCUGAAUUUGUACUAAAAAAAUUCGGUUUCUGCAAACCGAUGUUUUUUGUAAGGGCAAAAUUGGAAUAUUUGGAGUAUAAAAGAAUCACGGGGGGUCGGAAGAGAAAACAUCUUAUUUGUAUUUCCUCCAAGAGGCCCAUGGCCCAAUUGUUAUUAGAUCCACUAUGGAAACCCUAGCUAUAUAUAUAUAUAUAUAUAUUGUAUUGCAGCCUCACUCUUGAGGUUAUGAAUAAAGUUAUAUUUUAUGUUAUCGGUUUAAA